rnacentral:rRNA from 1 species
AGCGAACGCUGGCGGCAGGCUUAACACAUGCAAGUCGAACGCCCCGCAAGGGGAGUGGCAGACGGGUGAGUAACACGUGGGAACGUACCCUUUGGUUCGGAAUAACUUGGGGAAACUCAAGCUAAUACCGGAUAAGCCCUUAUGGGGAAAGGUUUACUGCCGAAGGAUCGGCCCGCGUCUGAUUAGCUAGUUGGUGAGGUAAUGGCUCACCAAGGCGACGAUCAGUAGCUGGUCUGAGAGGAUGAUCAGCCACACUGGGACUGAGACACGGCCUAGGCUCCUACGGGAGGCCGCAGUGGGGAAUAUUGGACAAUGGGGGCAACCCUGAUCCAGCCAUGCCGCGUGAGUGAUGAAUGCCUUAGGGGUGUAAAGCUCUUUUAUCCGGGACGAUAAUGACUGGUCCGGGAGAAUAAGCCCCGGCUAACUUCGUGCCAGCCGCCGCCGUAA